rnacentral:tRNA from 1 species
GGAGUUGUGGCUCAGUGGCAGAGUGCUCGCCUAGCGCAUGUGGGGGCACUGAGUUUGAUCCUCAGCACCA